GAACGCACCCUGAGUUCAACCCUGGUCAGUCUGGUAAAACACUGUUUAGAGACUCAGCGCAACUCAAGGUGGCUCCGACCAGAACCCGGACAAACUCCAGCAACACGGCGCACUGAGUGGGCUUCAUCGGACACUGGGUUCCGAUAAGAGGGACUGAAAACGCUGUACUUUCUUGGAAGUGAAAGACAGCAAGCAGGUCUUCUUCCAUAACCACUAUGGCCAACGUUGAGGAAGGGAGCGUGCACACUUUUGGCCCAGAGCUGCCUGCGAUAUUCGAUGGCAUGAAGCUGGCAGCAGUGGCGACACUCCUGUACAUCAUCGUCCGCUGUCUGAACCUGAAGAGUCCCACAGCUCCGCCAAAGAUCACCUACCAGGACACACCACUCAGCCACUACCUGUUCAUAUCCUGCCCACUGCUGAC